rnacentral:rRNA from 1 species
UAGUCCACGCUGUAAACGAUGUCUACUUGGAGGUUGUUGUCUUGAAUGAUGGCUUUCGGAGCUAACGCGUUAAGUAGACCGCCUGGGGAGUACGGCCGCAAGGUUAAAACUCAAAUGAAUUGACGGGGGCCCGCACAAGCGGUGGAGCAUGUGGUUUAAUUCGAUGCAACGCGAAGAACCUUACCUACUCUUGACAUCUAGAGAAGCCAGCGGAGACGCAGGUGUGCCUUCGGGAACUCUAAGACAGGUGCUGCAUGGCUGUCGUCAGCUCGUGUUGUGAAAUGUUGGGUUAAGUCCCGCAACGAGCGCAACCCUUAUUUCUAGUUGCCAUUUGGAACUCUAGAAAGACUGUCGGUUAUAAACCGGAGGAAGGCGGGGAUGACGUCAAGUCAGCAUGCCCCUUAUGCCCUGGGCUACACACGUGCUACAAUGGACGAGACAAUGAGUUACAAAUCUGCGAAGAUAAGUUAAUCUAUAAACUCGUUCUAAGUUCGGAUUGUAGGCUGC